rnacentral:lncRNA from 1 species
GACCGAGUAAAAUCAUUUGUUUGCCCUUCUCCUCCCAAAAUAUGCGUAAUCCUUCGCAGCUCUUCUUCCCCGUCGCCAAAGAACGAACGCAAGGACAGCUAGCUCCACCGCUUCCUCCUCAAACUCCGGCCUCCUCCUCCAGCAUCGUCCUCCAUCGCAAUCGUCGUCUCCGGCCUCCUUCACCGUUAGUUUCUUCUCUAAUCCCCUCUCUAUCUCUGCAACACGAUUUUUGAUUCACAAUAGAUUUCCAGUUAUGGGAUACCUUGUAUUGCUUCUGUAAAGAACUUCAUUUUGGUUGAUUCUAGAAAAUAAUAAUCAAAUCGAUUAGCUUGAUUUUGGAAAUUAAUUUGAAGAUUUAAUUGUGUUUCUGUGUCGUUCUGGAAAAAAAAAUCAAAUCGACUAGUUUGAUUUUGAUCAAGAAGCAAUAUAUUAAAGAUAUAAUAACCUUUUGGAUUGAAAUAAUCGAAUUUGUGGUGUGACUCUUUGACAUUGAAAAUUAUUUGAUUGAUGAUUGACGAGUUGUUUAGUAAAGAAUUAAAGGAAAUUAUGAAGCAUUUAUUUUCAGGUGUUCCAAAGUUAAUGAUAUUUUUUAUUCUAAAUAGCUCUAAAUGUUUGAAAUCAG